rnacentral:lncRNA from 1 species
GAAGGAGAUUUGUCCGGAGGUCACUACAGAGAGGCACCAGGAUGAAGACAGUCACCCAGUAAGACAGAUCCGGUCUCCAGUCUGCAGAACACAGGAAGUGGUUAUUUUUGAUAAACUACAUUAAUCACAGUUCACUCACAUGUUUGUUUGUCGUGGUGUAGCUGACCCUGGAUCUGGACACCAUCCUGAGAUUGUUCAGACAGGAGAACGUGGACGGAGAUGUUGAACGUCACAUCCAGGUGAGGAGGACAGAUCUCCUCCAUGGUGCUCUGAAGGAGGUGAGGAGGCCGGGCUUCUGCUUCAUGACGACGCCUCUUAUCUCCUUCAGUGGAGAGGAGACCGUUGGCCACAAGGGACCCCUCAGAGAGUUCUUCAGGCUGGUUCUGCUGGAGCUGCAACAGAGUUGUGUCUUUGAGGGUCGUCCAGGAUGUUUGAUCUUGACCUACGACCUCACAGCCCUCGAACACAGGAAGUAUUAUGAAGCCGGAGUCCUGAUUGGUUGGUCGCUGGCUCAUGGUGGGCCAGGACCUCGCUGUCUACACCCAGCACUGUUCCAGGUGGGUCAUUUACAGUCUGUAACAACAGCUUUGUUUUGGUCUGGUGACCAUCAUGCAGCAUUUAGUAUUUAAAAAGCCCCACAUUUGACUUUGCGGAGACCAAAAUGGGACUACGAGUGUCAGGUGUCAGAGCCAAACUUGAACGAUAAAUCUUAACGAUGGUGCCUCGGGAGCAUACGGUGCCUCGGGAGCAUACGCUGCCUCAAGUGGCCACUCAAGGAACUGCUGCUUUUGCCUUGUGUAGUGGUGGAAUACUUCUCGCAUGUUGUCAUUGUGUUGUAUUUUGUUAUCACAGCUAAUGUGCAGCCAGAGUCCAUCUUUGGAGGACUUUGAGUGCGGGGACAUUGUUGAUGCAGACGUACAGAUCCGACUGCAAGAGGUAGCACAGAAAACCACCAACAAUAUUCAAUGAAAUGGAAUGAUGCAAUGUUUCAGUAAAAAUGCAUGAUGAGAUUUUCCACAACAAGAGAGAAGCUAACCUGUUUUACCUUCGUAGUGUCGCACAAAAGCACACCAUUUUGCUCCUCUUACAGUUGUGUGGUUGUACUGACGUGAAGCUGCUGUCUCCCAGUCUUUGUGACUGGGCGUCUUCCUGUGGGAUCCCUGGAAUUUAUUCAGCCCGUUCUGAUGAGAUACCAUCCAUCUACACACGCCUGGUGAAACACUACAUCUACCACAGGGUGGCAAGUGUGAUCUCCCAGUUCACUGAGGGUCUGAACAGCUGUGGUGGACUCUGGGAUCUGGUGCAGGCCAAUUGGGAGGCGUUUGUGCCGGUGAUGUCGAGCGCACAACAGCAGCUCCUCACCCUGGAAGAGUUCAAACUGCUCUUCACCGUCCACUUCAGUAGUCCAGACUCGCCGAUGCGGGCGGCUGAGGAAGCCACUGUUGCACACUGGGAAACGGUCCUCGCCUUGGUCAACGAGGGUCAGGCAGGUUUUUCCUUUGAAGACCUCCUCGCCUUCAUCACAGGAGCUGAUCAUCUGCCCCCUCUUGGCUUCCACCAACUGAUCUCCCUACGUUUUUACUCACAGGAUACCAGCACAUCUAAUGUUCGCCUGCCGUAUGCCUCCACCUGCUCUCUGGAGCUCUUCCUGCCGCGGGGAGCGGCUGCAGCUGCGGACCUGUUGGUGCUGCUGGACACAGCUGUGCAUGAGGCCCAGGGCUUUGCACGUUUCCAGACAGCAGGAGAAGGAGAUGACACAGGGGUGAUGUUGUGAUUAUGAAUUAAAUUACGUUGCAUCCUGCUGAAGUUAAGUAUUAUGACCUGAACACUGUGGCUGAGAAGGAAAAACACUCUGGAAGCUUGUGGCAGCCUAGUGCAAAAUUUUUGUUUUAAG